rnacentral:rRNA from 1 species
AUUGAACGCUGGCGGCAGGCUUAACACAUGCAAGUCGAGCGGGGGAAGGUAGCUUGCUACUGGACCUAGCGGCGGACGGGUGAGUAAUGCUUAGGAAUCUGCCCAUUAGUGGGGGACAACAUCUCGAAAGGGAUGCUAAUACCGCAUACGUCCUACGGGAGAAAGCAGGGGAUCUUCGGACCUUGCGCUAAUAGAUGAGCCUAAGUCGGAUUAGCUAGUUGGUGGGGUAAAGGCCUACCAAGGCGACGAUCUGCAGCGGGUCUGAGAGGAUGAUCCGCCACACUGGGACUGAGACACGGCCCAGACUCCUACGGGAGGCAGCAGUGGGGAAUAUUGGACAAUGGGGGGAACCCUGAUCCAGCCAUGCCGCGUGUGUGAAGAAGGCCUUAUGGUUGUAAAGCACUUUAAGCGAGGAGGAGGCUACUCUAGUUAAUACCUAGGGAUAGUGGACGUUACUCGCAGAAUAAGCACCGGCUAACUCUGUGCCAGCAGCCGCAGUAA